rnacentral:rRNA from 1 species
CCGCAUAGUAUGCGACAUCAGCAUUGAUGACGUAUUAAACAUUCAUGGGUAAGAGAUGGGCAUGCGUUCUAUUAGUUAGUUGGAGUGGUAACGGCACCCCAAGACAGCGAUAGAUAGGGGCCCUGAGAGGGGGAUCCCCCACACUGGUACUGAGACACGGACCAGACUCCUACGGGAGGCAGCAGUGAGGAAUAUUGGACAAUGGGCGGGAGCCUGAUCCAGCCAUGCCGCGUGCAGGAAGACUGCCCUAUGGGUUGUAAACUGCUUUUGUACGGGAAGAAACACCCCCUCGUGAGGGGGCUUGACGGUACCGUAAGAAUAAGGAUCGGCUAACUCCGUG